GAUGAACGCUGGCUACAGGCUUAACACAUGCAAGUCGAGGGGAAACGCCGGGGAAGCUUGCUUCCCCGGGCGUCGACCGGCGCACGGGUGAGUAACGCGUAUCCAACCUGCCUCUGACAGAGGGAUAACCCGUCGAAAGUCGGCCUAAUACCUCAUGGCAUCGUCUGCGGGCAUCCAACGACGAUUAAAGAUUUCAUCGGUCAGGGAUGGGGAUGCGUCUGAUUAGCUAGUUGGCGGGGUAACGGCCCACCAAGGCGACGAUCAGUAGGGGUUCUGAGAGGAAGGUCCCCCACAUUGGAACUGAGACACGGUCCAAACUCCUACGGGAGGCAGCAGUGAGGAAUAUUGGUCAAUGGGCGAGAGCCUGAACCAGCCAAGUAGCGUGCAGGAUGACGGCCCUAUGGGUUGUAAACUGCUUUUAUGCGGGGAUAAAGUGAGGGACGUGUCCUUCAUUGCAGGUACCGCAUGAAUAAAGACCGGCUAAUUCCGU
rnacentral:rRNA from 1 species